rnacentral:lncRNA from 1 species
CUUCACAAGCGUACCGGGAACUCCCGAGAAUUUCCUCUGAAAACCCCUGUUUCUCAUCUCUUAUCUCCUCUACUCUUUUAUUGCCUCUGAACUCAGUCCUUAUAUAUUUUCCUUUGUCUUUUACUUGUGAAUAACAUGCUGCUGACCCACAGACUGGCUAGGUCACUCUGUAAGUAAGGCUUUUCCCUAUUAAAUACCCUUAUAUUUCUACCUGACUCCAUAUUGGUAAUUUCCCACUAUAUCUGGUUGUCAGAAGCGGGAUAUUGGAUACCUACACCCCAUUUGGGACAGACUGUGGGUUCCAUCGGGGCCCUCGGCCUAGGCCCGGAAAGCGCCCUCUCUCCACAGGCAUUCCCGGCUAGCAGCCGACCCGCUGCAGCUGAGCUGCUCAGAACCAUCCACCCAGCUCGGAGACAGUUUCCAGCUGCCUAGAGUCAAGGUAGGCCUCAGCUUUCAGCAGAGGCUUCCCCUGGCCACUGCUGCGGGAAAGCCGCAUCUGUUUCAGUGGUUGUAGGAGCAAGGCCAUAUACUCUCUAAGAUAAGCGCAGCCGCUUUUGUGACCUCUCUCCACUGCUGACCAACUGCUGCCAAACGCCUCGGAAUAACUGAACGCCUAUGCUACCUGCUGGUCAAAUAUAUUUACUGCAUCUGGAGUAGAAAUCAGGUAAAAUUAUGGCGGAACAUUUAUCAUUUGCUAAAAUUGGUAAUAUUUUUGCUUAUUACGUGAAUUCACUGUUUGAGGAGGAUGUUAAUGUGCCAAUUACUGGCCUUUAUGCCAUAAUGGCAGUUAGCUUGCUGGUACAAAUAGUAUUACUAGCCAGAGGACUCAGAAAUAGGGAUAAGGAUAAUCUCACCACCUAUUUACAGGAAAUAACAGCUUUACGCAGUGAGGUUUUGGAGAACAGAUUAGGUCAGACCACAAUUGUGCAGCAAGUGGAACAGAAAUUGGAUGAUAAGCUUGGCUCUGUGUCCAAUACACUAAAGACAGAGCUGUCUGACAAGAUGCAGCGUACUUAUGAUAAGAUAAACACAGAGAGAUCCUCCAUGUCUGAGGCCUUAGAGGCUAGGCUGUCAGAAGACCAUGACCAGCUAAAGAAUAUCUGUAGCCAGCUAGAAACUCAGAUAGGCAAUGUUACUCAUCAACUAGAUGCAACGGUGCAAAAUACCCAGCAUAGGGUUGAAGAAUUGGACAAUGCCAUUCAAUCAGUUAUUGAAGCAUCCAAGGUAG